GUGAUGUAGCGCGUUUCGCGGCCUUCAUUUCGGGUGUGUUUUCUGGAUUUCUCGUGUUGCAUGCAAUUCGGGUUUUUCACUGUGUGAUCUGAGCAUUCACGUUUGCAUGAUUUUCCCACAGCAGUGGGCCAGAGGGUGCAGUGAGUGACAGAGCUUUAUUGUGCAAAAAGGUUCAUUAAUGUUAAUUUCAUGCUUCCAAUGUGGUUUGUGCCAGUCAACAUUAGAAUUUUCCCCGGUCGCCAGCUGAAUUGAGAUAGGUCUCGUGCUACAAGUGCAGUGAUAGUAUCCAUUGUUGGAACCGCGGAGGAAUUUGAAGAGUUGUGUUACGGUAUCCAAGGAAAUUCCCUAACAAGUGGAUUGUUGAAAGUGAGUCUUUACAGUGGCGUAAAUACUUUCGAGGGGACCCCAAUACGACUCCGCUGGGAUUAACGCUGAAUUAGGACGAUCGUUAGCGUGGCUGAUGUCGAUAGUUCAUCGAGCCUGAUAACUGCAUGCCAAGGAUUUAAAUCGAAAACAUGUUCUUAUGUUAUGCUGACUUCAACAUAGCUUCAUCUCGCUCCUGUUUUUUUUGAUUCCAAAUUGGAAAGACGAACGAGCAAUCGUGAAGAGUUAUUGGCAAUAAUUAAUCUGAGAUGUCUGGAGUGGCUGAUCAAAGCAACAUCCGGAGCUAAUGCGUGUCCGUGCCGCGUGUGUUUAGGAUUUUUAUUGAGCAAUUUAACGGAUUCAACGCGGAUUUCGAUGCGCUGAGAGGGUGGCAUGGUGUGUUAGUUAGCGGCGGUUAUUAAU